rnacentral:rRNA from 1 species
UACGUAGGGUGCAAGCGUUAAUCGGAAUUACUGGGCGUAAAGCGUGCGCAGGCGGCUUUGCAAGACAGAUGUGAAAUCCCCGGGCUUAACCUGGGAACUGCAUUUGUGACUGCAUGGCUGGAGUGCGGCAGAGGGGGAUGGAAUUCCGCGUGUAGCAGUGAAAUGCGUAGAUAUGCGGAGGAACACCGAUGGCGAAGGCAAUCCCCUGGGCCUUACCUGACGCUGAGGAGCGAAAGCGUGGGGAGCGAACAGG